AGCGAUAACAACAGUAGCACUACUUGUAUAUGAUGUCAGAUAUUGCAAACUAAGAAUGAUACCAUGCCCUGGAUUAGUAUCAACCGGAAUUUUAUAAGUUGGAAAUGGUUAUCGACCAAACAUCGUUAUAAGAAUUCCAAACUCUUCACAAUUGAGUAUAAUAAAAAAUGAUAAUCAAAUUAUAAGCACUUGAAUAAUGGAAUAUCACAAAUCCAACUAAGCAUCAAAUACAUGAUUUCAAAAAACAUAAUGAUGCGUAGAAAAAGUUCAAUCUCAUUAUCGAUCAUUUCUACCUCUAUAUAAAGAGUUCAUCACAAUGAUAUAGAAAAAUUCAUCGGAAUAUAUAAAAUUGACGCAGAAAAUUUUCAAAAAUCGAUUAAUUCUCGCAUUCUUAAUCAUUUUUUUUUAUAUUCCAGACAUUGUUGCAAAGAAGUAUGAGACUAGUCGAGUUCAAUUAUAUUUUUAUCCUUAAUGUACUUUUUGAUAAUUUACGCGAAAUGAAAAUGUAUUUCGAGGAGAAACUGAACGAAUUGAUCAUUUUGAUUUUAAGGUCGAAAUCUUCUGUUUUGUCGAGAAGAGAAAUGCAACAUACUAGUAAGAAAUUCAUUAGAAAGAAAUUAUUAACAUGAGGAUCACAAAAUGAAUUUUCUUCUUAAUGAGAGAAAAAUCUAUUAGUAUCAAUAAUUAACAACUUAUUUGGACAUCCAAUCUCUACUAUAAAUGGAUGGCAAGUUUUGAUGAAAUUUGCGGAUCUGUGUAAUAUAUCAACGUGCGACAAACCAAAUUAUUUUCAACAAAAAAAUACACAAAAUUAAUUAUAGAUUUUGAAAACGAAAAUCUUAACAAAUAUAAUUAAAUUUGGAAAAUAGCAUACCGCAAGAAUGCAAUAGCUAAACAUGCAUAUACUCAAAAUAUUCUUGAACAUUUCCAUGAAGCAUAUUGGGCUCAAUAGAUGUUCAGUACGUUCUAGGAAACUUUAGUUAAUAUGUAAUUAGAGAAAAUCUCUAAAGAAAGGUAGAUAAAUAGAUAAAAAGAGAAAGAAGUAGAAACAGAAAAAAAUUAUACAAAAAA